AGCACCAAAAUCAGUAACCAAGCGAAUGCUAAACUAGCUUGGGGACUACGCUUGGGUGCUCAAAUUGAUUUAACCGCUCGCUAUAAUGCCAAACAUAACAUUAAGAGCAUAACCUAAUCCUCGCUAUGCUUGUGGCCCUGUUUCGAGACAC
rnacentral:snoRNA from 13 species